rnacentral:tRNA from 1 species
AGCUCAGUCAGUAAAGCAUAGCGCUAACAACGCUAAGGUUGCGGGUUCGAUUCCCAU